rnacentral:tRNA from 1 species
UUGGGGAGCUCAGUGGUAGAGCACUCACCUAGCAUGUGCGAGGUCCUGGGUUCAAUCCUCAGCACCACA